rnacentral:rRNA from 1 species
AUUGAACGCUGGCGGCAUGCCUUACACAUGCAAGUCGAACGGUAACAGGUCUUCGGAUGCUGACGAGUGGCGAACGGGUGAGUAAUACAUCGGAACGUGCCCGAUCGUGGGGGAUAACGAAGCGAAAGCUUUGCUAAUACCGCAUAAGAUCUACGGAUGAAAGCGGGGGACCGCAAGGCCUUGCGCGAACGGAGCGGCCGAUGGCAGAUUAGGUAGUUGGUGGGAUAAAAGCCUACCAAGACAACGAUCUGUAGCUGGUCGGAGAGGCCGACCAGCCACACUGGGACUGAGACACGGCCCAGACUCCUACGGGAGGCAGCAGUAGGGAAUUUUGGACAAUGGGCGAAAGCCUGAUCCAGCCAUGCCGCGUGCAGGAUGAAGGCCUUCGGGUUGUAAACUGCUUUUGUACGGAACGAAAAGACUCUUUCUAAUAAAGAGGGUCCAUGACGGUACCGUAAGAAUAAGCACCGGCUAACUACGUGCCAGCCGCCGCGGUAACAC